UACGGAGGGAGCUAGCGUUGUUCAGAAUUACUGGGCGUAAAGCGCACGUAGGCGGCUUUGUAAGUUAGAGGUGAAAGCCCGGGGCUCAACCCCGGAAUUGCCUUUAAGACUGCAUCGCUUGAAUCCAGGAGAGGUGAGUGGAAUUCCGAGUGUAGAGGUGAAAUUCGUAGAUAUUCGGAAGAACACCAGUGGCGAAGGCGGCUCACUGGACUGGUAUUGACGCUGAGGUGCGAAAGCGUGGGGAGCAAACAGG
rnacentral:rRNA from 1 species